rfam:Schistosoma curassoni strain Dakar, Senegal genome assembly, scaffold: SCTD_scaffold0003772
AUCCAGCUGACGGGUCCCAAAUAGGACGAAACGCGUGUCGUAUAU